UACAGAGGUCUCAAGCGUUGUUCGGAUUCAUUGGGCGUAAAGGGUGCGUAGGUGGCGCCGUAAGUCGGGUGUGAAAUUUCGGAGCUUAACUCCGAAACUGCAUUCGAUACUGCGGUGCUUGAGGACUGGAGAGGAGACUGGAAUUCAUGGUGUAGCAGUGAAAUGCGUAGAGAUCAUGAGGAAGACCAGUGGCGAAGGCGGGUCUCUGGACAGUUCCUGACGCUGAGGCACGAAGGCCAGGGGAGCGAAACGGG
rnacentral:rRNA from 1 species